rnacentral:rRNA from 1 species
CCAGACUCCUACGGGAGGCAGCAGUGAGGAAUAUUGGUCAAUGGCCGGAAGGCUGAACCAGCCAAGUCGCGUGAGGGACGACUGCCCUAUGGGUUGUAAACCUCUUUUAUAAGGGAAGAAUAAAUGCUACGUGUAGCAUGAUGCCUGUACCUUAUGAAUAAGCAUCGGCUAACUCCGUGCCAGCAGCCGCGGUAAUACGGAGGGUGCGAGCGUUAAUCGGAAUUACUGGGCGUAAAGCGCUCGUAGGCGGUAUGUCAAGUCAAGGGUGAAAUCCCCGCGCUCAACGUGGGAACUGCCUUUGAAACUGGCAAACUGGAGUGUGUGAGAGGAUAGUGGAAUUCCAGGUGUAGGAGUGAAAUCCGUAGAUAUCUGGAGGAACAUCAGUGGCGAAGGCGACUAUCUGGCACAUAACUGACGCUGAGGAGCGAAAGCGUGGGUAGCAAACAGGAUUAGAUACCCCCGUA